AUAUGUGAAAUCUGUUAUCUUUUAGGCUUGAUCCUGGGUUAUACAAGGGUUGCAGGAAAGAAGCAAUUGAAGUGUGUAAUGCAAAACAAGAUUGGUGGGACAAACCUGAGAAGAUGGAUCCAGAUCGAGGCCCACUUAUCUUGCACUGUCUCUACCAGCAUGCUUACCAUCCAGAUGAAAAUUUUAAGCUUACACGAGACUGUCUUUACCAAGUGAGAAGAGUGAUGAGGCAGCGAGCGGUCAGUGUGAACCUGCAUCCUGAAAUAGAAGAACCGUGUUUGAAUGACCUCUCCAGGUUUUGUAGUGAAAAUGUUGAGAAAGGCGAGG